UGUGUAAUUAGUUUAUUUUUUUAUCUAUAUUAAAUGCUCCAUGCAUGUGUUCAAAUAUUUGAUGUGAUGGGUGAAAAUUUUUUGGACGGGAAACUAAACAAGGCCUCAAUAUCUCCUGUUGGUUUUUAAAAUCCAUCAAAAUUGCGUCAGCCUGUCGGUUUCUCCACAGUACCAUGGGUCCCACAUCGGUUCACAAAUAAAAUUUCCUUAUUCCUAUACCCUAGCGAGCCCGACCCAUUCACAUCUGUGUCGCCGCCCCAGUCCUCUGAGCUCGCAACUACAUCCAUCGCGCUGCCGGGCUCCCUUGAGCUUGCACGCACGCUGCCUCCCCGUGCCCUCCCCGAAGCUUGCGCCGUGCCUCCGGGGAUCUCGUUGACGCCCGCGCCGCCGCCCUGGAGACCUCCUCGAUGUCCGCACCGCCGCCCUAGAGACCUCCUCGACGCCCGUGCCGCCGCCCCUAGAGACCUCCUCAAUGCCCGCCGCCGCCCCCAGAGACCUCCUCGACGCACGCGCCGCCGCCCCAAAGCCCUCCCCGGAGCCCGCGACGCCACCCCAGGUCCUCCGCGGCGCUCGCGCCGCGUCCCCAUGGACCUCCGGACGCCUGCGUCGCCGCUGCCCCCAAGGGUCUCGAGAGGCUACACGCCCUAGGGGCCUCUACAACACCCAUGCUGCCACCAACGCACAGGGACAAGCCGCACCAACGCCGCCCUUAUGAUGAGGUGCCCUCUGUCUCCCAACCUCCCUUUCAGAUCUGCUCUUCCUAUCUCAAAUCAAAUUUGCUAGUUAGGUUCCCCAUAUACUGUAAAGCGUUGGUUCAACUGAAAAUUGAAAUGUGGGAGGCUGUAAGCAUUUAAGUGAGAAAUUUAGUUGUUUUUUAAAAAUAAAUAUAUGCAGCCUAGGUUUUUUAUCGUAGGCGUCUAUUCAUUCUAGUGCAUCUUGGAGGUAUGAGGUGUAUAAGCUGAGUUUAUUGCUUAGCACAUAGGUAAUCCAAUAUUCUCAUGUUUAGAAGCCUAGAUUAAAAUAUAAUUACUGGAAUUAGUGAAUCCAAUGUUCUCAAGCAGAUAGUGAUGAUUUGGUUGAAAUUUCAGUGUUGUAGAGCAGACAACAUUCUCAAGUAUAUGUAUGAGAUGCUGCUUCUUUGUUUCCCUGUCUCCAGUUACCCAUCCAUAACUGCAGUUUAGACUAGUAGCAAAGAUACAAAAGACAAGUGAAUCCAAAAAAAUAUUUUUCUUGUGUCCAUGAUUUCUUUUGUGACUAGUAUAGUGCCCGUGCUAACGCUACGACUUUAUUUCAGGAAAUACAUAUGAAAACAACCAAUUAACGAUAUUGACUAUGGUAACACUACGGUUACACUUCAAACUACCGAAAGUGCUACAUAUAUAUUGCUAAUCAAACAUGGAAUAAGAUUGACUUUUGAUUCAGAAAAUGAUACAAAGAUAAAAGAAGUAAGCCAAGCCUCAUAUGUAUUCAAGCAUGUAGACAGACUCAGUCAGACUCAAUGAAAGCUCAAGAUACCAAACUUGGACAAGCUCGUUUACGGGCAUGUUUCAUAGAGGAUUUAAACAACAUCUUUUGUUUCACAAACUUGAUUCGAUAGCUUGGGAAACCUAGGCAACGAUCGCGAAUAUAUAGGAAAGCAAAUCUUUGAGAAAGCAUGCUUGGGAGUCAGAAUUGUUUGACAAUAGAUUAAUGCCACUUGGUCACAACAAUCCAAGUUAUCUGGUAUCUAACAUAAACAAGCAAAAUAAAAAAUCAUCACUCGAAAGGGCAUAUCGGCCUGAGCAGUACAUAUGAAAGCUAAAGAAAAGAAAAGAAAAAGAAAAGAAAAAAAAGAAAAGGCUAUUUCAGGGAAGUGUCAACAAGUGGAAUGUUUAUUAAACAUACAUACAUAAACCUCCAAAUACUCUUCUCGAUAAAGGGAAAUUGUAUUUUACUUCUUCCCUGUUAGUCAGAACAUUAACACCUGCACAUGAGCACUUGAUACCUGCAGCGUUGCUUUGCAGCUAAAGGUGGCCGUGGAAACAACAACAGAAUAUAUAGUAGAACAAAAGCUGAAUUAUCCUUAUCUAAGGCAGCACUUUUGUGAGUUUGUCCCAAAAAAACUACAAGUAUUAAUGAUAAAAACAUCAACAUAUAUCUAAACAUUUUGUCUCCAAAGCCUCCAAUACUGGCAAUGCAUCACAAGCACGAAUAGUGAGUUAGUCCUACCUGUCAAUAGCAAGUGACCAUUUGUUGUCGAUAAAGUCAGUAGCACAAUGCAUCACAUAAUGCGCCUGCCAAUAUCAUAUCAGUAAGAAUUUCAGCUAUGCUCUAUUUAUACAAGGCAAUCUUCAUUUCCACACACAUAAUGACCUUGAGAAAACCACUACUAUCCAUGAUAUCUGAACUCUUUAUUCAAGAUGCAUUAUGUGUGAUAGGAUAUUGCCCGUGCUAAUGUUACGGUGAUAGCUAAAAGAUGAUAUAUAUUAUUCAUUGUGACUGCCAAAGUAUUCUUAGUCUGUUCCAUGGCUGCUGCUCACCUCAAAGAAACAAGUAAUAACCAAACUAAUUCGCCAAUCCUUAUGUGCUUUUAUUGUGACUGUGUCAUGUGGGGCAUCGGGUACACAAGGAGGAGGCGUGCCCGCGAUGUGCGCUGGGCGACUGAGCGCGCGGCAAGCCUGGUCCAAGCAGCGCAUGCGAAGGAGCUGGCCGCGCAUGCAAAGGAGCUGCAGCAGAAUUGUGGCUGAUGUGCGCCGGGCGACUGAGCGCGCGGCAAGCCUGGUCCAAGCCGCGCAUGCGAAGGAGCUGGCCGCGCAUGCAAAGGAGCUGCAGCAGAAUUGUGGCUGAUAGUUAGAGAUCGAGUCAAUUUCCUAAGUUUAGCAACAAGUCUUUCCCUUGAGUUUAGGAGGUUUAUUUCCAAUUAAGUUGCUGCCUCAGGCUAUUUAUACUUGUAAUGGGAACUUGGAGAAUUAAGCAAGAUCAAUUACCUCCAUCUCUCUCUCUCUCGUUCUCAAGCCCGGCCAUUGUGAGGGGUAUAACCUCCGGGACUGGAAGACACGCCAGGAGACUACGAGCUCCGUAGUCGAGGGCCGCCUACCCUAGAUCACUACGCCCUUGACAGACUGCCAAAACACUCUUAGUCUCUUCUAUCAUCUAGUUAGGAAGCAGUGCUCCCUCCUGAAUGCCAGAUAGUAACACAAAUUCAUAGUAUAUUAGUAAGAGGUAAAGUAUGUACCGAUGAUAACUGAUAAAGCUAUAAUCAAUUAUCUUCAGGUAUGAUGUUGGUUCAACAUGAGAAAUGUCCAGAACACCCAUCAUUAAUAAAAUACAAGCAUAUACAAUAAUUUAAUACAUAGUUGUGUAAUCAUUCGUAUUUUAGUCAAGGACUAAAUGUGACCAUGCAAAGCACCAUUCAGUCCGGCUGCACCUAUCUAAUGUAUCAAUAGUUUUUUUUGCCUAUGCAACUAAACAGCAGCAGCAUCUGUAAAUAAUACAAUGAACUUAGCUAUAAGAACUGCAAAAUUUACAUGAGCUAUAAUAAAUCACCUUGCACCAUUGAUGUUUUGUUCUUCGGCUGUUUUGCAAAUUUCCAUGUAGGUUAAGCAUUCCAACAGCCAACCCAAAUCUCCAAUUUUCAUUCAGUCAUUCAAAAAUUAUCUAUUCUCCCAAAGUCCAAACCUGCAGUCGUGCAGAAGCCAAAUAGGAAUCAUUGAUUGCAUGGGGCAUAGAAAUUAUGGGCUUGCUGGAGAGGCCUAGGAGCAGCGACUCAAGCCCUGUGAACUCCAACUUACUGUCAGCUUCAUGCUCCCCCAAAUCAAUGUGAACUCCACUUUGCUGUCAGCUUCAUGCUCCCCCAAAUCAAGCAACAGAAGGGGAAGAGAUCCAAAUUAGAACUCAGAUCCAGGACAAGAAAGGAGGGAAAAGACAUAACUACAGACUUGCCUGCAGUGACUCAAACCGUGGGUCAAAUCUUAGAUCCAGGACAAGAGAAAGGAGGGGAAAGACACAAAACUACAAACUUGCCUGCUGCCAACUUGCCAUUGGCUUGUGUUGGAGGUCGUCCCCCGUGUGGGUCUCAUGCUAUACGCCUAUGCUGCAAUGGGGGACCCGCCUGCUCCGCCGGCCGCCCAACUACCUGGCGGCCUGUUCGCCCGCCUAGCCAUGGCCGUGGAACGUACAUGCGAAAGGGAGCUGUGGGACGGGGCAGAGUCGAGGCGUCCGCUCGUGGCCAAGGCGACGUCCAGCAUGGUGCAUCAUUGGGGAGGCAAAGUGCCCUACGACGCCUUGCCGCGGCCUCGCCUUUGCCCAGCGCCGGUCUGUGCGGCCUCAACGGCUCCCUUGCCCUUGCUCCUCUAUCAUCAAGGAUGGGGCAGCGUGAGGGAGAGAUCGAGGAGUCGCCCUGGUGAUCGUGCGUAGGGGAGAGAUCGAGGAGGAGUCACGGGCUCACGGCUUUGGGGAGAGAUCGAGGAGUCACGAUGGGAGAGGAAGAGGAGGCCACUGGCGAGGAGGAGUCACGGGGUCACGGCUCUGAGUGAUGAGUUUGAUCCGAGCAUUUUUGACCGUUAGAUGUGAUUGAGUCAGAGGAAUGUGAGAUUAUAGUUAAUCUUGUCCCUUAAUUUCCAAAGACAUAUCUUUAUGGGUAUAAUUUUCUGGGUGUACUUAGUGUAGCUUACAACUGUAUUAGUAAGUUAUGGGGUGCAUUUAGUUAAGUUCUGAACUGGUGGAUUAUAUAGUAGUAGAGAUAAACUUCAUGAUUUCUGUCAAUGUGUAGAUGUUUGUAAAAGGACCAGUAUUUACUAAAGAAAAAAUACAUAACUGAAAAAACAUAAGUGUGUGAGUGAUAUUUGGCUAAACAGAACACUACUGGUAUUUUUUCAUAAAACUGAGAAUUAGAAAUACAACGUAGCUUUGUUGUGCCCUGGUUGGAGGUGGUCUAUGCGUAAUGCUAGAAGGGCGAUGGAGAAUAACUAGCUAGUGAGGAAUUAGGCAAUUAAUUUGGGAUAUUGAGUUUCAUCUCAUUAAUUUUGGAUUGCGAGUUCCACAGUCUUCAUGUAUCUCGAAUUAUGUCUGGUUAUUUUGGGAUCUGAAAUAAUUAACAUGCAAGGAAGAAAUCCUUUUUUUCAUUGUCUGUUGUGUACUUUGUUUCUGAGAAGAGCUAUAGACUUGCAGCAGGGGGAGAGAAGAGCUAGUUCUCUCAUGUCUGAAGAGCAGAAGACUUACAGUAGGUUUACAUACUCAGAAGUUGCACUGGAGAUUAUCUAUGCAACUCUAGACUUAACAACUACCUGCUAAUUUGUAGAAAUUGAGUAGAAUGACAUUUCAUACAUUUAUGCCGUUAAUUAACUAUCUGUUGUUUUGUUGUAGCCUGGGAGCAGUUGACCUACAUUGAGCCAAGAGGAAAGGAGGUAGCUAGGAGGUAUAAGUAUGGCCAUUUAUUUUAUAAAGCAACCGUUAUUUCAUAGAUCUGGUGGAUACUCUAUGUAAUCACUUACAAUUUAACAUUGUCAUGUAUUAUGAUCACAAGAGCUUGUAUUGUGAAGUGUGAAAUAUUUGUGUACUGCUAUGAAAUAUACCAUAUUGUGAUCCAUGAGAUUCAGAAAUGUACACUG
rnacentral:lncRNA from 1 species